UAGUGUAACUUUGACUGUUAAUUGUUGCUUUCUUUUCAGUGAAAUUCUGUCUGCAACUGAGACCCCAGAUUUGUUCAAGUACUUCAGCAAAGUCCUGAUGAAAGUUCUGGACCCUGAAAGAAGCAAAACAACUAUAAGCAAUAAAAUCAGAAGGAUCGUGGAAUCACAGAAUCACCAAGGUCAGAAAAGACCUCUAAGAUCAUCCAGUCCAACUGUCCACCAACAUUUCCCACUGAACCAUGUCCCUCAGUACAACAUUCAAAUGUUUCUUGAACACCUCCAGGAACGGUGACCCCACUGUCAUGCAGCUUGUGUCAGCACCUGACCACUCUUUAAGAUAACGUACUUGCAAAAAAAAAUAACGUGUGUACAUCAGUAAGUCAAUUCCUUAACGUUUUAUAUCUUUGCGAGUUGUGUGCAAACACAUGUAUGUAUGAUACUUCUGCUGCUCAGCUCAGAUGGUCUUAGCUGGUUUUGUAUUUGUUGGAAAAACACUGAAGUAGUUUUAUUAUAAAGAGCUAGCAGCGUGGUUCUUUGUAGAUUGGCUGGGUAAAGCAGAGCUGAACAUUUCUCAAGGGUCAUGGAAAGCUUCUUAAGCUUCAGUUAAGGAAUACAUUGGAGAGAGAUGAGAAAUAAGGAAAAUCAAGCGUACUCAAAGGUAGAGAAAAAUUUAAGAAGCUCUGUAGUAUGAAGUUCAAAAAGCUAAAAUAACACAGGAAGGGUGAGAGAAAAUCAGAAAUAGAGAAAUAAGUACAGGAAAUACCUUGACAAAAUUUUGAAUGUUCCUUCCCUCCCUAUUGCAAAGGAAUUUGUUUUAAAAGGAAAUUCAGUCAAGUACUGUUAGCUAGAGAAAGAUCUUUGGAAAAGUAACCACAGGAAUUGUUGCAAAUUGCAAAAACAGACUUUGUUUUUUGUUGCUUAAUGGAGAAAUUUACACUUAAGUGCUUUCAUUUUGAUUAAGAAUAUACAGUUGAAAGUGGAACAAAUACCUCUUUCACAAAACAUGCCUCACGAUUCUCUUCUUUGCAGCACUGUUCCCUCAUGGCAGUAAAAGCCACAGUGAUGGAAGUCAACUGCUCCUGUGUGAUCUGGGGCUUGUAUUUGAUGAGGUUGAUGAGCAUUCUGCAAGGGAAGCAAAGUCCUGUGAAGCUGGAAGGUGGGGUCAGGGCUUUGUCAGACAAAGGAACUUGUCUAGAAAAGAAAUGGAUCAAACCUGUUGAAUCAAGACAUAAGCAUCAUUUAGGUGCAGAUCUGCUUUCAGCUGACAUAUGACAUCCACAAUGUAUUUCAAAAUGCGUAUGCCUAAGGGACUACAGUGAAGCAUCCAGGAAGCCCUGGAACAAGCAACAUAUUGCAUCUUAACAAUGAGUGUGGCCAGUCUACUGCUGAAGCAAAGAAGCCAAAGCCUUGUUUCGUGAGCAUCAGGAAGACUCACAAAGCCUUUAUUGUCCGUUCUCCAAACUUCUUCAGGAUUCCACAUGUGUGUUCCUGCCUCAGGCCAUCUUCUCUGAUGGGCUUCACCACCUUUGGGGCCUAGUAGAAAGACAGUACAGACUGUGAAAAUGGAAGAAAGCCAAGGAAAUGCUUUGUGGUAAAACUACUCAUUUAAGUAGUUAAGUAGCAUUCAAGUCAUAUUUCACCCUGUCCUUAGCAGGGUGAAUUCUAACAUCAGAUGCAGAGGCUGAAAAAGAAAUAAUCAAUAGCUCUCUUUGAGCAUUUGUUUUGUUAUGGGAAAGCCACUGGUCCCAUGCUACAAAACCAAACCUCACUUUGUAAUACCUGUCUCCGAAAGCAUUCCUCCAGGUUAUGAGUGGAGUCUUCAGCGCUUCUGCAGCAGUCCUUCAUCAUCUCAUCAUAAUGGAUAGCAACAGAAAGGAUUGUAGGGGCAUAGAGGAAAGGAUGCCUUCUGGAAACCUCAUAGAUAAAACUAAAACAGAGAUAAAUGUUUUUAAUAUCAGAUUAAGCCUUGAAACGUAGGGAGCUGCAGUGGUAUUGUAGCAAAACAACAAGCUGUAUGAUGCAGUGUGUCUUGGAAGAAUUCUGACAUUUUUCUGGAAAUUAAAGGCUGAGAUCCUUCCAGUUCUGGUCUAGAGGCAGCGGAACAUCUGCUUGGCUUUUAAGGACUAAAGACAAAUCCCUAGUAUUUCAGGUGAGUGCUUUAUUUAAACUACAAUGAGAUAUAUCAGAUUGUUUUAUUUUUUAUUUGUUUGGACCUAUAUUCAAAGUAGGCUUUGGUAGAACAGGUUUCACAUGAUGAGAAAUAGACCUGGAUGAAUUAUUCAAAUAUUUAUCAUUAGGAAGAAAAAAGAGGAUGGCUCUACAGCAAGUCUCAUUGAACUUUUUGUUUGAUACUGCAUUUGUGGUCUCAAGGCUCGUAACCACUAUAUGCAGACAACAAAUCUAUGAGUCAUUUACUUACUAUCCUGGUAAUGAAUGGCGAUGCUCUGAAUAAUUUUUGCAGGCAACUUCAGCAUUUGGCCUUUCAAAAGGAGAAAUGAAUCCUUUUGAUGAAUUUUUAAGGGAGAGGAAGCAAUCAUUUCUUUCAGGGUCCUUUUUAGCACAGCAGUCAGUAAAUCCAGGAAGAUUGUCCUCCUGGCAUAUAGUGUUGAGGAAGAUCCUGUCCUGUGAAAAAUUAGGAAAAAAAGCUAAUGUGUGUGAGGAUUCUAUUUCACCCCCAUGAGUUUUCUGAGGAGACUUUUUAACCCAAAAAGCCCUAAUUUGCGUAAAUGUAUAGUUUCUCUCUUUACUACCGCUGCUUUGCCUGCAGCGUCAGAGUGACUUCUAAAACAUAUGUCAAUUUCUGGUACCUACUAUUAUGCCAAGAUAGACUUUAUUAUGAGACAGUUUUCAAACAUAUUGUUCAGCUUCCACUGAACUUAAAACAUUCAGACCCUCAUUUCUUGAUUAGAGUCAAGAUGAUUGUUUGAUUUGUAUAUCUCAACGGGAUCCAUAUUCUUUUCUAAUUAAAAUCAGUGUGUAGUGACAAGUCUCAGGUUUGUGUAACAACAGUUCUCAGGUUCCUUGUUCAUCACAUAGCAAUGCUCAGGUUUGCUGUCAGUCAUGCUUCAGCUGGGAAUUGUUUUAAUUCAGGAUUUGCGUCAGCCCCUUGCUUAACAAAUAUAAGAGUUGUAACAGACUGAUAUCCAUUUUCCAUGAUUCAAUCUGCUGAUCUCUGACAGUACAUUGAAGUGGACUCCACUGAAUACUAGCAAUGUGAGUUAAUGGAGUGGAGAAAGCUCCUAUGAGCAUCAUAGUUGCUAGAAAUAUGUAAUCUGACUUCUACUGAGUUCUGUUAUGAUAGACAUAAAAGCACAAGUUUACAAACAUUUUAAGAGGUCAAGGAUUUCAAAAGCUACUGUGUUAUUUUCUAUGAAGGACUUUGUCAUCCUUUGCUCAUCUUGAGAUGUCUUUUAGGUGGGAGCAUGGAGAAGGAAAGAGUCAAUAAGAGCAAACAUUCACACACAAGUAAACCAUGUCUCCUAAUAUCUUACUCCUGCUGGAAAAAUGCAUACCAGUACCCUGAAAUUAUGUCACUUCUGAAAAUCUGUACUGCAUUAAAAGUACAAGCUUGCUUACCAAAGGCUUCUGACAGUUUGGAUUGUCUCUGUCUACGUCAGUGCACCUUUUGGCAAAGUCUGUUACAGCUUCAGCCAUUUUAACCACUUGGCCAAAUGUGUUUCCUUGCACGUACUGCGCAAACAUGAUCAUGGCUCUAUAAGAAGAAUGGAGAUCAUUAAGAAUGCUUCUGUCUAUCUAAAAAAUAAAAAUAACUGUAUUACUUUUUGCACGAGACAGUAAGAGAGCUUCUAUCACCAAUUCGCUCAGGCUGAUGGAACAGGGAGUGUGCAACUUGCAUUGCGUGCUCAUCUCCAAAUGACACAAAAUGCCAUAGCAAAUUUGGCAAGCAAAUUUGCAAGUAGAUUCUUUACCCAGACAACUUACAUGGCUUUAAAAUUGUUCUCUUGCAGCUGAGAAAACCGUUGGCUGAUGCUGUUUUUUUCCUCUGAAAAACAAGAUAAUUAGCGUUUGAAUAGAAUAUGUUUCAAAUGCUUCAUCAAAUACUUUUCUUUUUUAAAUAUACAGGAGUUUCAGAAAAACAGAAUGCAGUGCCAGUAGUACUAUUACUAAAGUGGAGGGCAUGAGGCAAUGCUAUCUAUUUGACUUGAAGGUGGGAAACAAUUUGUUUUUGAGCUACAAUGUAAUUUCCCUGCCUAUUUCAUGCUUUGCGGAAGGGAGAUACAAUCAAACCUAGAAGGUGUUCAGCUAUGGUGGUACACAUCACAUGAUUAAAUAAACAUCUUAGAAACCA